AACGAACGCUGGCGGCAGGCUUAACACAUGCAAGUCGAGCGCCCCGCAAGGGGAGCGGCAGACGGGUGAGUAACGCGUGGGAAUCUACCCAUCCCUACGGAAUAGCUCCGGGAAACUGGAAUUAAUACCGUAUACGCCCUACGGGGGAAAGAUUUAUCGGGGAUGGAUGAGCCCGGGUUGGUUUAGCGAGUUGGUGGGGGAACGGCAUACCAAGACGACGAUCCAUAGCAGGUAUGGGAGGAUGAUCAGCCACAUUGGGACUGAGACACGGCCCAAACUCCUACGGGAGGCAGCAGUGGGAAUAUUGAACAAUGGGGGCAACCCUGAUCCAGCCAUGCCGCGUGAGUGAUGAAGGCCUUAGGGUUGUAAAGCUCUUUCACCGGGGAAGAUAAUGACGGUACCCGGAGAAGAAGCCCCGGCUAACUUCGUGCCAGCAGCCGCCGUAAUAC
rnacentral:rRNA from 1 species